rnacentral:rRNA from 1 species
GACGAACCGUGCGAACGUUAUUCGGAAUCAUUGGGCUUAAAGGGCGCGUAGGCGGCGGUGUAAGUUGGACGUGAAAUCCCAUCGGCUCAACCGUGGAAUUGCUCCCAGUACUGCACUGCUCGAGGGGGAUAGGGGUCCGCGGAACUACCGGUGGAGCGGUGAAAUGUGUUGAUAUCGGUGGGAACGCCAGUGGCGAAAGCGGCGGACUUGACCCUUCCUGACGCUGAUGCGCGAAAGCUAGGGGAGCAAACGGG